AACGAACGCUGGCGGCAUGCCUAACACAUGCAAGUCGAACGAGACCUUCGGGUCUAGUGGCGCACGGGUGCGUAACGCGUGGGAACCUGCCCUUAGGUUCGGAAUAACUCCCCGAAAGGGGUGCUAAUACCGGAUAAUGUCUUCGGAUCAAAGAUUUGUCGCCUUUGGAUGGGCCCGCGUUGGAUUAGCUAGUUGGUAGGGUAAAAGCCUACCAAGGCGACGAUCCAUAGCUGGUCUGAGAGGAUGAUCAGCCACACUGGGACUGAGACACGGCCCAGACUCCUACGGGAGGCAGCAGUGGGGAAUAUUGGACAAUGGGCGAAAGCCUGAUCCAGCAAUGCCGCGUGAGUGAUGAAGGCCUUAGGGUUGUAAAGCUCUUUUACCCGGGAUGAUAAUGACAGUACCGGGAGAAUAAGCUCCGGCUAACUCCGUG
rnacentral:rRNA from 1 species